rnacentral:lncRNA from 1 species
UUUUUUAAUGAAGAUUAUUUUAAUGACGGAAACUCAGUUUUUUAAAGAUUCAACUAUAAAACUCUAUAAAAAUCUUUCUUACAGUUUUUUGUUUUUGUUUUGUCAAACUCUAUAAAUUUAAACAUCUUGAUGAACAGUCAAAAUUUAUGAACGUUUUUUUUAAAAAAAAAUAAUAACCUUUAAGACAUAUAUUAUUUGGUUGAUAAAAACAACCAAUUGCAAUGCAUGUGGCUGUAGGAGUAUAUGCAUAUUUAAAUCCCUCAUCCUCUUAUCUUAAAGAGAAAAAAAAAGUCUAUGGUGAAGUAAACAAAUCCAUUAAAAUCUUCGUAUAGAUUUCUUUUCAUUAUUUUUAUCCAUUACCAAAGUUUCUUUAAUCUCUUUCUUUC